CCUCGCUCUGCCUUGCAGUGAUGGACGGAGUCCCCUUUACCCUGCACCCCAACAUUGGGAGCAGCCCCAAGGCUGGCGUGCGGGCUGUUAUUACAGGCGUCACGGUGAAGUCUCCUGCUGAGAUCGAGAGGGAGUACAACUACACGUUCGUGGUUGAAAGGACGGCAGCCGCGCGCGCCGGCCCCAGCAUCGGUUAGCGCCGCGGCCGGCCCUGCUCUCGAGGACGCAGCUUCUGCGCUGAGGACCUGAAAACGUCCRCGAGCUAAGAGCCCA